ensembl:lncRNA
GUUACCGGUGAUUUUUGUACAACUGCUCCCCAAAGCAAAACGCUUUGAGACUUAAUUUCAGUGAGAUAAAGAGUGGUCUGCUCCCUCACCAGCUGAUCUCCUUUCAGCAUCACUUAACUAGAGAGGAUGCCAGUGUCCCAAGACUUGGUGCUAGAGACGGCAGCAGCUGGCACUCAUCUUCAUACUGGACUCACAAAGGUACUUAGAGUGACUGAUUUUGAUAACCAUAAGGUGUGUUGCAUUUAUAUUAUUUUAUUUUUCUUAAAAAAUAACCCAGGCCUCAUUUAGGUAAGGUAAUGCAGAGUGCUAAAGAGUUAAUGAAAAGAAAUAUGAGGCAGUUAAACUUAUGUUUUUUAGUGAGAACACUGAAAGAUACUCUAUUUUAGCUCUACAACUGGAAUUUUCUAUCCUGAAAAGUAGCAUAUGAUUAGUUACUACCAAAUUGAGUGGGUGUUGCAAGCAUUGCUAAAAUUAUAUUUUAAAAAAUCCUUUGAUCUCUUGAAAGCAGUGAUGUGUAUAAAAAUAAGGUGAUUUGGGUAUUAUAUAUGCAAAAUUCAUCAUAGCAAAAAAAAAAAAAGACAAUUAGCUUGCUUCAAUAUUUUGGCUUGUCAUGAAGUGAACUUGUUCUGUAAAAGGAGGACAUGAUCAACUACAGUAUCUGCAGUUUUAAUAGCUUAUAUAAGUCUGUUUAAUUAUUAAUAGUAUGAUUGACUCCUAAGGACAGAGAUUGUUGCUCUUGAACUGGGUAAGCAAAUAAAAAUUCUUAUAACACAUUUAUCAGCAAUGUAUUUAUGCCCAGAAUGCUGUGAAUACUUUUGGGUCUCAACCUCCUGGGAAGAUUUCCAGGUGUAUUUUGAAACCAGUUCCCUAUACUUAGAGGACAAGGAGAGACCAUAGACAGAGGGAGCCCACUCUAGGUUGGUAGAUGACAGGUUUAAUAAUCAAAAGGACUUAUUUAGGAGGUUUGUUUUGGGUGGCUGGAAGAGAGUAGAUUUCCACACCUGCCUGUCAAAAUCUUGAAGUUUAUAUAGAUGCCUUAACUGGGCUCAGUCAAGUACAUCAUCCAGAUGCUCUCAACAGUACAUGAUUGUCUCAAGGCCGUAUCCAUGGAGCAGCCUGGGUGUGGGGAAGGUAAGUAAAAAAACAUUCCAAAGACAGGAAUGAAGGUGAGGAGCCUUCAGUUACCUGAGUCCACCUUGAGAGUCAAACCAGGGAUCAUAUCUUCUUGAUGACCUCUCCCAGCAACUUCAUAACAACAAAGUUUAUUUCAAAGUUUAUUGUAUUGAUUCAUUUUCUUUGGACUGUUGUUUUUGCAGUAUGAAAAAUCAAGAGUAGAGGUUAUGAUUAUCUGUUUAAUCUUGCCAAGACAUUAUCUGUUUAAUUUUGCCAUUGACAAAUGAAAUAACUCACUCAACCUAAGAUGAAGCAGAUAUUAGCAUGAGUAAUAAAGUUUUAUUUCACUACUUAAUCAAAUUAAUUUGGGAAUUUCCAACCCCUUUCCUUUUUAUAACUAUCAUUAUAUGUUUAUCUCUGUACAUUAUGUCCUAGAGCAUGGGUAUUAAGGAGGGAGCAGAAUACAUUGACUAUGUCCAUAUGCAAUUGAAAAAUGUCUUUAAAUCAAGAUUUUUACUUGAAGUAAUGUUUCUUUAGAGCAGUCAAGAGGGAAUAGAUCUCACUCAUAUCAAUGGGUUGAAUUUAUUAUCUGCUAAUUUAAAAUUAAUAUAAAUAUAUUAAAUUUCAUAUAAUCUGUGAAAAUGUCUUUCAUCUCUGAUAUUAUUUGUGCCUAUAAAUUUGCAUAUGCCAUAAAGUUUACUUAUAGUUUCCUUAAGUCAGCAAAGUCCGUAUAACUAAAGAAGUAUGAAAAACAAAUUUUGAGAUAAUGCUCUAAAUCUUAAAAGGCUGGACAGGGAGCAGCAAAGUGUAAAGCAAAGUGGUGGUCCUGAAGAAGCAUCAACGAUGAAACUGAUCUGGAGAUUGAAACCUUUAGUGCAACCAAUUGAUUUAUUACUCAGAUCUAUGUUUCUCUCACCUCUCUUGCCACUGAUAGACUUUCCAAAGAAUUUUUAAAGAAUAAUUUUGCUUUUAAGAAGCCAUUUGGCAAAGAACUUAAUCUACACCUUAAGGUCAGCCAUUUGUCAGCAACAAAGUUUAUAAAUAACCAACCAUGAAUUUUCCUAUACCUUUUAAUUAGGACAAAAAAGAAAGAAAAAAA